rnacentral:rRNA from 1 species
CCUUAGAGUUGAUCCUGGCUCAGGACGAACGCUGGCGGCGUGCUUAACACAUGCAAGUCGAACGGGGUGUUUAUUUCGGUAAACACCAAGUGGCGAACGGGUGAGUAACGCGUAAGCAAUCUACCUUCAAGAUGGGGACAACACUUCGAAAGGGGUGCUAAUACCGAAUGAAUGUAAGAGUAUCGCAUGAGACACUUACUAAAGGAGGCCUCUGACAUAAGCUUCCGCUUGAAGAUGAGCUUGCGUCUGAUUAGCUAGUUGGUGAGGGUAAAGGCCCACCAAGGCGACGAUCAGUAGCCGGUCUGAGAGGAUGAACGGCCACAUUGGGACUGAGACACGGCCCAGACUCCUACGGGAGGCAGCAGUGGGGAAUCUUCCGCAAUGGGCGAAAGCCUGACGGAGCAACGCCGCGUGAACGAUGAAGGUCUUAGGAUCGUAAAGUUCUGUUGUUAGGGACGAAGGGUAAGGAUCAUAAUAAGGUUUUUAUUUGACGGUACCUAACGAGGAAGCCACGGCUAACUACGUGCCAGCAGCCGCGGUAAUACGUAGGCGGCAAGCGUUGUCCGGAAUUAUUGGGCGUAAAGGGAGCGCAGGCGGGAAACUAAGCGGAUCUUAAAAGUGCGGGGCUCAACCCCGUGAUGGGGUCCGAACUGGUUUUCUUGAGUGCAGGAGAGGAAAGCGGAAUUCCCAGUGUAGCGGUGAAAUGCGUAGAUAUUGGGAAGAACACCAGUGGCGAAGGCGGCUUUCUGGACUGUAACUGACGCUGAGGCUCGAAAGCUAGGGUAGCGAACGGGAUUAGAUACCCCGGUAGUCCUAGCCGUAAACGAUGGAUACUAGGUGUGGGAGGUAUCGACUCCUUCCGUGCCGGAGUUAACGCAAUAAGUAUCCCGCCUGGGGAGUACGGCCGCAAGGUUGAAACUC